UCCACUGUGUGAUAAAGUGCUUACAGUGCAGGUAGUGAUGAUAACCUGGCCUACUGCAGUGUGAGCACUUCUUUCCCACCCUGGA
rnacentral:pre_miRNA from 13 species